rnacentral:rRNA from 1 species
CGUGUAGGCGGUUGGGCAAGUCAGAUGUGAAAGUCUUCCGCUCAACGGGAGAAGGGCAUUUGAAACUACCUGGCUAGAGUACGGGAGAGGAGAGUGGAAUUCCCGGUGUAGAGGUGAAAUUCGUAGAUAUCGGGAGGAACAUCAGUGGCGAAGGCGGUUCUCUGGUCCGAUACUGACGCUGAGACGCGAAAGCGUGGGGAGCAAACAGGAUUAGAUACCCUGGUAGUCCACGCCGUAAACGAUGGGCACUAGGUGUAGGAGGUAUUGACCCCUUCUGUGCCGAAGCUAACGCAUUAAGUGCCCCGCCUGGGGAGUACGGCCGCAAGGCUAAA